UACGUAGGGUGCGAGCGUUGUCCGGAAUUAUUGGGCGUAAAGAGCUUGUAGGCGGUUUGUCGCGUCUGCUGUGAAAUCUCAAGGCUCAACCUUGAGCUUGCAGUGGGUACGGGCAGACUAGAGUGUGGUAGGGGAGACUGGAAUUCCUGGUGUAGCGGUGAAAUGCGUAGAUAUCGUUUGGAACGCCAAUGGUGAAAACAGGUUGCUGGGAGUGUGCUGACGCUGAGACACGAAAGCCAGGGGAGCGAACGGG
rnacentral:rRNA from 1 species